rnacentral:rRNA from 1 species
GACGAACGCUGGCGGCGUGCUUAACACAUGCAAGUCGAACGGAAAGGCCCUGCUUUUGUGGGGUGCUCGAGUGGCGAACGGGUGAGUAACACGUGAGUAACCUGCCCUUGACUUUGGGAUAACUUCAGGAAACUGGGGCUAAUACCGGAUAGGAGCUCCUGCUGCAUGGUGGGGGUUGGAAAGUUUCGGCGGUUGGGGAUGGACUCGCGGCUUAUCAGCUUGUUGGUGGGGUAGUGGCUUACCAAGGCUUUGACGGGUAGCCGGCCUGGGAGGGUGACCGGCCACAUUGGGACUGAGAGACGGCCCAGACUCCUACGGGAGGCAGCAGUGGGGAAUAUUGCACAAUGGGCGGAAGCCUGAUGCAGCAACGCCGCGUGCGGGAUGACGGCCUUCGGGUUGUAAACCGCUGUCGCCUGUGACGAAGCGUGAGUGACGGUAAUGGGUAAAGAAGCACCGGCUAACUACGUG